rnacentral:rRNA from 1 species
CCCUUAGAUGUCCUGGGCCGCACGCGCGCUACAAUGACUCACUCAGAAAGUUUUUCCUGAUCCGGAAGGAUUCGGGUAAUCUUCAUAGCAUGAGUCGUGUUAGGGAUCGAUCUUUGCAAUUAUAGAUCUUGAACGAGGAAUGCCUAGUAAGUGCAGCUCAUCAGGCUGUACUGAUUACGUCCCUGCCCUUUGUACACACCGCCCGUCGCUACUACCGAUUGGAUGGUUUAGUGAGACCCUCGGAUCGGUCCCGACUCGGGGUGGGCUUCUGCCCCGGUCGUGGUUUCGCCGAGAAGACGGUCAAACUUGACUAUCUAGAGGAAGUAAAAGUCGUAACA